rnacentral:rRNA from 1 species
GGUUAGCGGCGGACGGGUGAGUACACGUGGGCAACCUGCCUAUGAGACUGGGAUAACUCCGGGAAACCGGGGCUAAUACCGGAUAAUUCUUUUCUACUCAUGUAGAGAAGUUGAAAGAUGGUUUCGGCUAUCACUCAUAGAUGGGCCC